rnacentral:rRNA from 1 species
UACGAAGGGGGCUAGCGUUGUUCGGAUUUACUGGGCGUAAAGCGCACGUAGGCGGAUCGAUCAGUCAGGGGUGAAAUCCCAGAGCUCAACUCUGGAACUGCCUUUUGAUACUGUCGAUCUGGAGUAUGGAAGAGGUGAGUGGAAUUCCAGUGUAGAGGUGAAAUUCGUAGAUAUUCGGAGGAACACCAGUGGCGAAAGGCGGCUCA